UACGUAGGUGGCAAGCGUUGUCCGGAUUUAUUGGGCGUAAAGAGCGCGCAGGCGGUUCGUUAAGUCCGAGGUGAAAUCUCCCGGCUCAACUGGGAUAGGUCUUCGGAUACUGGCGGACUUGAGGAGAGCAGAGGUGAGUGGAAUUCUCGGUGUAGUGGUGAAAUGCGUAGAUAUCGAGAGGAACACCAGUGGCGAAGGCGGCUCACUGGGCUCCACCUGACGCUGAGGCGCGAAAGCGUGGGGAGCGAACAGG
rnacentral:rRNA from 1 species